rnacentral:rRNA from 1 species
AUUGAACGCUGGCGGCAUGCCUUACACAUGCAAGUCGAACGGCAGCACGGGUGCUUGCCCCUGGUGGCGAGUGGCGAACGGGUGAGUAAUACAUCGGAACAUGUCCUAUAGUGGGGGAUAGCCCGGCGAAAGCCGGAUUAAUACCGCAUACGAUCUACGGAUGACAGCGGGGGACCUUCGGGCCUCGCGCUAUAGGGUUGGCCGAUGGCUGAUUAGCUAGUUGGUGGGGUAAAGGCCUACCAAGGCGACGAUCAGUAGAUGGUCUGAGAGGACGACCAGCCACACUGGGACUGAGACACGGCCCAGACUCCUACGGGAGGCAGCAGUGGGGAAUUUUGGACAAUGGGCGAAAGCCUGAUCCAGCAAUGCCGCGUGUGUGAAGAAGGCCUUCGGGUUGUAAAGCACUUUUGUCCGGAAAGAAAUCCUUGGCUCUAAUACAGUCGGGGGAUGACGGUACCGGAAGAAUAAGCACCGGCUAACUACGUG